CACUCGGUGCCUUGGGCAAGAACUAUGCUGCUGCAUCACCCAGGAAUAGCCAUGAGAGGCACCGUCACUCACAAGUCCCCUUCCCGAUGUGCACCUCACUCACUUGCUCCAAGAAAGAAAUAAACUGCCAUCGAUAGAUUACUCUCCCUACCCUUCACUGGCUCAGUUGUGGAGAAUGGAGCCACUCCCCACCCACUUGCUUCAGGGAGGGAGUAGGUGGGUACGUAGCCCCCAAUUACUCCAAAAGGUCCAGACCCAAGGGAUGAAAUGCUGGCUCCACUGAAGUCAAUGGUAGAGGGAGAGGGGGCUUCUGACACCCUCUUAUUCCCCUCACAGGGUCUCCUGUUCAAUACUCCAACUAAAGCUUAACCCAGUGUAAGGAUACAAGGAAGAGAGAAGCUACAAGUGCUUGGCACAAGAGCCAGGCAUAAGUGCAGUCCCCGGAGCACAGGGAUUGCUUCACGCAAGCACCUACAGCAGCAAUAGCCUCCUCAAUGGGACAAGGCAAUACUGGGGUCAUGUCUUUAGCCCUUCAUCUGCCUCAGUUGCAGCAGAGAGGAGUAGCUGUCGUACCCUUUCAAAGGAUGGUGCAGCUGCUGUGCUCGAUCCAGCGGGGUCGAUUCAUCACGCCUAGUGAAGAUGCGAUAAAUUGACCGCCGAGAGCUCUCCCAUCGACUCUGGUACUCCACUGGAGCCAGAGGCACAGGUGGAAUUGAAGAGGGAGUGUCAGCAGUCAACCUACCUCAGUGAAGACACCGCGGAAAUCCAUAGUGGAAGAAUGGAUGGAGUGUCAAUGGAUAGACAUAUGGACAAGACAUA